rnacentral:tRNA from 1 species
GCCCUAUUGGUGUAAUGGAUAGCAUACAAGUUUCCUAAACUUUUGAUUAAGGUUCGACUCCUUAAUGGGGCA